UGGAGUGGGGGGGCAGGAGGGGCUCAGGGAGAAAGUGCAUGCAGCCCCUGGCCCUCUCUGCCCUUCCGUCCCCUGCUCUUGGCC
rnacentral:pre_miRNA from 13 species